UAAUUCUCCUGGUAAGGAAGAUACUAUGAUCAUGAAGGUGGUUUUCCCAGGGUGAGGCUCUUCCAUUGCACUCUGGAUGUGCUGACCCCUGAGAUUUCCCCAAAUGUGGGAAACUUGACUGCAUAAUUUGUGGUAGUGGGGGACUGCAUUUGCACUCUCCCC
ensembl:snRNA U1 U1 spliceosomal RNA